GACGAACGCUGGCGGCGUGCCUAAUACAUGCAAGUUGAGCGAUGAAGAUUGGUGCUUGCACCAAUUUGAAGAGCAGCGAACGGGUGAGUAACGCGUGGGGAAUCUGCCUUUGAGCGGGGGACAACAUUUGGAAACGAAUGCUAAUACCGCAUAAUAACUUUAAACAUAAGUUUUAAGUUUGAAAGAUGCAAUUGCAUCACUCAAAGAUGAUCCCGCGUUGUAUUAGCUAGUUGGUGAGGUAAAGGCUCACCAAGGCGAUGAUACAUAGCCGACCUGAGAGGGUGAUCGGCCACAUUGGGACUGAGACACGGCCCAAACUCCUACGGGAGGCAGCAGUAGGGAAUCUUCGGCAAUGGACGAAAGUCUGACCGAGCAACGCCGCGUGAGUGAAGAAGGUUGUCGGAUCGUAAAACUCUGUUGGUAGAGAAGAACGUUGGUGAGAGUGGAAAGCUCAUCAAGUGACGGUAACUACACAGAAAGGGACGGCUAACUACGUG
rnacentral:rRNA from 1 species